ACCUGCAUUGCUUGCUGUUUGGGGUUUUAGGCUGGGUUUCUGUACAGCACUUUGAGAUAUCAGCUGAUGUACGAAGGGCUAUAUAAAUACAUUUGAUUUGAUUUGAUAUUCAUAAUAUUUCAGUUAACAAUUUAAUCAGCACCCAGAUUAGUCUUCAAUUUAAUUUUCACCCAGAUUAGUGUUCAAUUUAAUCUGCACCCAGAUUAGUGUUCAAUGUGAUAGAACAAAACUCAGUACAGCACAUUAAUUAGAAAAUGUUGUUACAAAUUUGAGCCACGAGAUGGUGGUAGAUUAUAAAUUUAAAUAGCAUGGACCUUUGAUUUGUCUCUGGAUAGAAAUGACCCUUGGGCACAGAUCUAGGAUCAGUUUACUCUCACCAAAUCCUAACCUUUACCAUUAGCAGUAAAAACACAAACCAGACCUAAGAUCAGUGCAAAGGAGCCACUUCAUCUUACCCCUGUAAUUAUAUGACUCCUAACUUAUAUAUACUGAGUGUACCACGCCAUUGACCUGGGUAUGGCCUUCCUUGUGCAGUAGAUCAAUGGUCCUCUGGCUCAACACCUUAUGGAUGUAACAUAGAGACAAAUGGACUGUAUGGAACACAUUCUUGGUUCAUGGAAACCAGGAGGACAACCUGCAUGUGUCUCUGUCUCCCAGGGGCUACUCUACGGUUGGACACCUGGGAUGGGUGGGCGGAGUUCCUCAGAGGCUGCUUCCUGGGACACAGACUGACCGUCCAACGACACCUGUCUAGGGAGAGACCUGUGAUGAGGUUCCAGCUCCGGGUGGCACUCUACAUCGCUGGUUCUCUGGGCCACCUGGACCUGGCCGGCUGGCUGCUGGAGAGGGGGGUGCGUGUCAUUGAGCCGGUGGGGGUUCACCCUUACCGUGAGUGGUGCCACCAGACGGCCCACCCCGACGUCGCCAAGUGUCCCGCUGUUGCCUCCAUCGAGCGCGGCCAGCUCACCAUCCUCAAACUCUGUAUCGCCAGCAGCGUUCUGACCCUUGCCUGUCAGGAUCCCCAGGGUCGUGACCCCCUGAGGAUCGCCCUUCAGUACGGCCACAGGGAGUGUGUGAGUCACCUGGCCACCAAGCUGUGCUCUGUGGUGGUCCUCCCAGGUAUGGCCCUGCCCAUGCGGACAUACCUCCAGAUAAAGGGCUGGGUGAGGCUGGGGCAGAGGAGGGCAGCAUCCAGGCACUGCAUGGGCCUUAACAGGGCUCCGUUCAGGACCAGGGUGGGCGACACGGUCCUGGUGGACGGCUUCACCCUCCCCAAGAUGUCCUCCAAGCCCAGGAGGAGUGAGGCCAAGGCGGGUAUCAGGGUGAUGUCCACAGCCUCUUGACGUUUGACCCCCAUCAACUGCCCAUCUCAUGUAACCUGCCCGCUCCGCGCCCUGGCAUCCCAGGAUAAACCUCUUCAACUACCGAAGCAACACCCUGUGGCCACGAGGGAUGAAAGAGAGAAGAAGAGGGGAUGUGGAGGGAAGGGAUGUGAGGAGGAUGAGAGUGGGGAUCAGAACAGCAACCAAUGGAGGAGCAGAGUCCCGCUCCUGCCCAUUUCCAGAGACACCAAUCUCAGACCUGUGUUUGCCUCACCAAACUCCGCCCAGAUCCUCACCACCUCACUGGAGGCCUUUUCUCUCCACUGCGACCGCACACCCAGAGAAAACGCCAUAUACUGUUUGGCCUUGGCCAGUGAACAAGAUGAGACUUUGGAACGGAUGAUGCCUGAAACAAUGCGGACAACUUAGAAUUUCGUUCCUUUGGAUGAGUUUUAUAGAUAUAGUCAGUACUGUGUUUGAUUUGUGUGCAGAAAGUUUACAACGGCAGGCAGUGGAUUCUCAGUCAUUCCUCUCAAGGAACAAAAAACGUAUCAUAUUUCACUGGCUAUUUGUAGUAGCCAAAUGUGAAUGGAAUUAUUAUUAUUCUACAAUCAUUCAGUUGACUGAAUGUGACUGUGGUUGUGCUGUAUGUGACUAUGUGGUUGUACUGAAUGUGACUAUGUGAUUGUACUGAAUGUGACUAUGUGAUUGUACUGAAUGUGACUAUGUGAUUGUACUGAAUGUGACUAUGUGGUUGUGCUGUAUGUGAUUGUACUGAAUGUGAUAGUAAGUGUUUGACAUGGGUCUAAUUGAGCCCCCCCCCCCCCCCCACACACUUAACACUAGUUUUUAUCCAUAGAAAUCCUCACUUGCUGAUGAAGACCUAUAGUGGUUGAAAUCAAUGUAAAAUACAGUAUGAACACUGCUGCCUUAAAACUCUUUUAUUAAAAUGUGGAUCAUUAUUGCUUAAAUGAGUCUGUGCAGUGUCAAAAUAAUACAUACUGUAUUUCACAUAGAGUAUUCGACAAACUCUUUAUUUACGUUACAAAACUGACAACUACUGUGACGAUGUGUUAGCACAGCAUGUGUCAUCAUUCCCCUGCAGUGUGUGGAUUUACACAGCAACAUAGCAGACAGCUUAAAUAGUUUAUUUUUAUUUAACCUUUAUUUCACUAGACAAGUCAGUUAAGAACAAAUUCUUAUUUACAAUGAUGGCCAAACCCGGACGACGUUGGGCCAAUUAUGCGGCACAAUAUGGGACUCCCAAUCACUUGGGAGUGGGAAGGAUACCAAAUCCAAUAUCACACACUUCUUCCUUAGUAUUCUGAGAACUGUCAGAUAGCUGUGAGAGCUAUGAGUGGAUCGUGGACCCAUGCAUAAAUGAUAACUUUGCUGUAACUCAGUGGGGCAAGUAGAACAUCCGGGUUAGUGUAUGUGCAUUAUCUGGACAGUUGAUUGCCUUUGUCUCAAAGCCUUUCCAUUUCUGGGGUAUUGAAGAAGCUUCUGAUCUCAACCUUGUUGACAGGUAAGAAACACUUGGUUAGUGUAUGUGUCUUAUCCAAUGGGUUGUCAGGUGAACGUUGAAGAUGCUUCUUGGAGGUGAUCUAAUGAUGUCAUUGAAUCGCUGUCAUUGAGUUGCUCACUGGACAAGACAAUUAUUCACUGAAAAUUAAAUCUGUCUUUCAUUUCACUUAUGUUGAUACUUGAUUGGCUAUUUGCUGUCUUUUGAAAAUACAAAAAUAAAUAUAACUGUUUUAUGAA